AUUCAAGGAAACCUCAGCCCUAUUCGAAAUUUAUCCCAUCAUGGCAGCCGCACACACCUGGGGUCAUCUCUAGUCCGGCAAGGCAGUAAAAUUCUAUUCUGAUAACUCGGUGGCUUGCGAAAUCAUAAACAAGGGGCGCUCAUCAUCCCUUACCAUUAUGCGGCUGAUUCGCAAGCUGACCUGGCUGGCAGCAACCGUCCAGUUUCAUUUAGUUUGUUUUCAC